rnacentral:misc_RNA from 1 species
AAACCCUCAAGCUUCGCUUGGUGUUGGGCGUCUGUCCGCGCUUUCGAGCGUGGACUCGCCCCAAAUCCAUUGGCAGCGGCUUCGCCGGCUUCUCGCGCAGCACUUUGCGCUCUUCGAGGCUUUUCGGCGGGCUCGCGUCCAUCAAGUAACCACCCA